GGAGCCGGCCGGACAGUCGCUGUAUUGCAGGUAAAUGCAGAGGAAAGUCCGGGCUCCGCAGGGCGAGGCGCCAGGUAACGCCUGGGAGGCGCGAGCCUACGGAAAGUGCCACAGAAAAGAUACCGCCUCGCGUCUUUAAUGGCGCGCGGUAAGGGUGAAAAGGUGCGGUAAGAGCGCACCGCGCCGCUGGCAACAGCGGUGGCAGGGUAAACCCCGCCUGGAGCAAGACCAAAUAGGGAGCAGGUACACGUUACCGCGUGCGGCCCGCACAGCUCCCGGGUAGGUCGCUAGAGGUGUGCGGCGACGCGCAUCCCAGAUGAAUGACUGUCCACGACAGAACCCGGCUUAUCGGCCGGCUCCCCUU
rnacentral:RNase_P_RNA from 1 species